CACCGCGGUUAUACGAGAGGCCCAAGUUGACAGACCCUCGGCGUAAAGAGUGGUUAGAUCAUACCGAAACUAAAGCGGAACUCCCUCACUACUGUUAUACGUACUCGAGGCCAGGAACCCCAAAUACGAAGGUAGCUUAAUUACAUUGACCCCACGAAAGCUAUGGUA
rnacentral:rRNA from 1 species